rnacentral:rRNA from 1 species
AUGCAGCUCAAGCUCGUCCCUGGCAACUCAGCCGGCACCGUCACCGCAUACUACCUGUCGUCGCAGGGGCCGACGCACGACGAGAUCGACUUCGAGUUCCUGGGCAAUGUCACCGGCGAGCCGUACACUCUGCACACCAACGUGUUCACGCAGGGGCAGGGGCAGCGGGAGCAGCAGUUCCACCUCUGGUUCGAUCCCACCAACGACUUCCACACCUACUCCAUCCUCUGGAACCCAAAGCACAUCAUCUUCAUGGUGGACGACAUGCCGAUCAGAGACUUCAAGAACCUGGAGGGAAAGGGGAUCGCCUUCCCCAAGAACCAGCCCAUGCGGCUCUACUCCAGCCUCUGGAACGCCGACGACUGGGCCACGCAGGGCGGCCGCGUCAAGACGGACUGGUCCCACGCGCCGUUUUCGGCCUCCUACCGCGGCUUCAAGGCCGACGCGUGCGUGGUGACCGCAGGUGGCCAGCCGCGCUGCGGCGCCAGCGUCGGCACGGAUGCGGCCCCGGGCACCGGCUCCUCUGCCACGUCGGGCGAGUGGUACAACCAGGAGCUGGACCUGACGCGGCAGCAGCGGAUGCGGUGGGUGCAGAGCAAUUACAUGAUCUACAACUACUGCACUGACCCCAAGCGCGUCGCCAUGGGCGUCCCCGCCGAGUGCUCCAUGUAG